CCCCCAGGUCGCGGCUAGGGGGCUUGUAGCCUCCCCGGGGUCCUUUGCCUUGGUUCUCAAGUUCCCUGCGUAUCUUUUGUUACGGAAAAAAUCAUUCCGAAGGUUUUAUUCCAUUUGGAGUCCGUUUAAUAUUCUCCUCUAAAAAGGGUCAAAACACGGAAAAAACAGGAAGUGGCACUUGGCACUGAGUUAAUAGGUUAGUCCCAAAAAA
rnacentral:lncRNA from 1 species